rnacentral:sRNA from 1 species
UAAUUUAUAAUAUUAGAAAGUCAUAAUUUUUUCCCCUCUUAAAUAGUUUUGUGCAUGUAGGAAACCUCACUAUAUUUUCCAGCUACAAAUGCCUGAAUACCUGUCAAUAUCGAAAUAGGAGAAGAAUAACCUUUUAUAUCACAUUUUUCUGAUUACAGAGGGUGGGAAAAUUACAGUGUGAACAAUUGGAAGCUGUAAAAAGGAAAAUAUCCAAACCGCAGUGGGUUAAGUUAUAAAGGAUUACUAAUAUAGGCAAUUACUGGUGGUAAGUGUUUCGUUUGUUUAGUCUGAAUGUUAGUUAAUUUUUUUUUCAUUUUUUACCCAUUUGUUCCAGAGGUCUUCACAAAUAUAGAGUUGUGGUAUUUUUUCUUAUUGUUUGAAUUUGAUUUGUGUCUUUUUCUGUUACAGCAUACAGGUAUAAAGAGAUGAAAGUGUAUGCAUGCUCCUUUUGUACAUACUCUACAGUGAGAUCAGCAGAUUUAAAGAGACAUUUGAGAACUCACACAGGAGAAAAACCUUUCAGAUGUGAUUAUUGUGACAAAUGUUAUUCAGAUAAACGUUUGCUUCAAUUGCAUGUAAUGAAUCACAAGGGAAGAAAAAUACCUUUCUAAGACAAAUUUCACAAAAAAGAUAUGGCUCUAAAGAUGUGAAAGUGUAUGCAUGCUCUUUUUGUACAUACUCUACAGUGAGAUCAUCACAUUUGAAGAGGCAUAUGAGGACUCAUACGGGAGAGAAACCUUUCAGAUGUGAUUAUUGUGACAAAUGUUAUUCAGAUAAACGUUUGCUUCAACUGCAUUCCAUGAAUCAUCACAAGGACAGAAAAAUGCCUUUUUUGUAAUGCAAGUUUUAUGAGAAGUUUAAUAUCAUAUAAGUAUUAAGGUUAAUGCAUUUUUAUGACAUGAAACAAUCCUGUUAUGAAUAAUCACAUUAAAUACUGUUAGCUAUUUAUCCAACAGUUCUGAUUUAGAAUUCUUCUUCUAUAGUAUUUACUUUAUACUGAAUAAUUCACAUCAUUGCAUUGUAUGUUUGUCUGAAAACUGUUGAUGAUUUAUAUAUUUAUUUUGUGUGCUGCAGGUUUUGAAUAGAUGCGAGACCCAUGCUUUAUUAUGAUAACAUUUUAGAUGUAUGAAAACAGCAGCUCAAUCAAAAGUAUUGAAUUUUUGUAGAAAAAUUUUAUAUUUAAUACAUGAUAGUAUUAUACUAGAUGCCUGGUGGCUGAGUGGUGGUGCUUUGUUCUCUUGUGCCACAGGUCCUGGGUUCAAACCUAGGGCCGGGAAAGGUUGACUGAGAAUUUCAUCUCUUCAGUGGGGUGAUAAAAUGAAUACCAAGCGUGCUUGGGGACUAAACAUUGGGGGUUCCGCUUUUGGUUGACCACCUAAACGGAACAUCUGCCCCUGCAGAUGGGCACAGUAGGCUUUAACGCUCUAUAGACUGUUGGGCCACUGAGUAUAGUUUGGUAAUAUUAUAAUAAGUGUAUAAAAAUGAUUGUUUAAAAAAAUGUCUUUUUAGGUAAAAGUAAGAUAUGUAGUUAUGUUUGUGUAACAUGAAUUUAGAUGGGUGUAAGAAAAUUAGUAAAGCAAGUCAUCCUGUCUUUUAUACAAAUUUUAUCGAACAAAUUAAAAAAUAAAUAAAUAAAAGGCUAGUCUAAAAUUGAAUUUUCCUUCUUUUUUUAAAAAAUACUCUUUUAAUAGAUGUUGAAUCGUCCAUGAAAAAAAGAAAGACUUUAGAAGUGUCUGACAUUUGAUAUAUUCAUAAAGGGAAGAAAAUGCAUGCAUGUACUUGCUGUUCAUUUUCAACGAUUAGGUUAAGUGAUAUGAAGAGGCAUAUGAGGACGCAUACAGGAGAGAAACCUUUCAAAUGUGAUUUGUGUAAUAAAUGUUAUACAGAUAAACGUUCGCUUCAAUUGCAUUUGCUAAAUCAUCAGGGAAAAAAAUUAUUUUUGUAACACUUCAUACAAUUUAUGAGAUAUUAUUGUUUGUGCAUUUUUAAAACACUCUCUUAUGUUUAUUAAGACGUUGAACUGUUUGAAUGAUUUGAUUCAGAAUCAUUUGUCUUGCGUGGAUACUGUCAUUGCACAUUUUAGUUUAUUUUCUUUAUGUGGUUAAGACCAAACUUCAUUGUAAUCGUCUGUGGAUGGUUGACUGAAUGUAAACAAUAAAAAGCUUCCUAAAAUCGGAUGAAAUUUAAAAAACUUCCGGUGUAUCUCUCCGUUUAUGUCAUGCUUACGAGGCGAUAUGUGAACUGGUUUCAAAUUCUAGGAAGUUUUUUAUUGUGAUUUGAGUUUAAAUUUACACGUUAUUUUCCCAUUCAUAAGUUUUUUCGAUAAGUUAUAAAUUUUAACAGAUCGUGAACCCAAAACAAAUUUAGCAAAAUUAAUAUCGCAGAAUAAAUAAAGUGUAAGGUUUGCCAUGUAUGGAAUGUUAUCCUCUAUUUGGCUAUAUUUGUGUAAAAUAGCACUGUUCGUUAUUUUUUGGUGAGUAUUACAGAGAGCUUGCAGAGUCUUCCAAAUUCAACUGUUGUCUGUUUCGUUGAAAGUUAGAUUGAAAACGCUGCAAGUAUAAUAACAUUGGAUGGCAUGUUUUUUCAAACUUAGCGUAAAAAUCAGUCGGAAGUAGUAACCCGGAAGUCUUAUGAGGAAUUUUAUCCCCUAGUGCCAUCUGCGCUUAGCUUUACAUGGUCAACCACCUAUACACUAUAGAGGCUCGCUCCGUAUCAAAAUUUAAUCUAUAUGGUAUCUAAACUCUAGUGAAUCGUG